GACGAACGCUGGCGGCGUGCUUAACACAUGCAAGUCGAACGGAAAGGCCCUGCUUUUGUGGGGUGCUCGAGUGGCGAACGGGUGAGUAACACGUGAGUAACCUGCCCUUGACUUUGGGAUAACUUCAGGAAACUGGGGCUAAUACCGGGUAGGAGCUCCUGCUGCAUGGUGGGGGUUGGAAAGUUUCGGCGGUUGGGGAUGGACUCGCGGCUUAUCAGCUUGUUGGUGGGGUAGUGGCUUACCAAGGCUUUGACGGGUAGCCGGCCUGAGAGGGUGACCGGCCACAUUGGGACUGCGAUACGGCCCAGACUCCUACGGGAGGCAGCAGUGGGGAAUAUUGCACAAUGGGCGGAAGCCUGAUGCAGCAACGCCGCGUGCGGGAUGACGGCCUUCGGGUUGUAAACCGCUUUCGCCUGUGACGAAGCGUGAGUGACGGUAAUGGGUAAAGAAGCACCGGCUAACUACGUG
rnacentral:rRNA from 1 species